UAUAACUUCCAUGGCUGCUCUCGGCUAGCCAUGGAUGGAGGGAAAAAAAAUAUUUUGUUGCCAUUUUGAUUAAGUUUCAAGUGAAUUACAAGUUCAAGGAGGUGAUAGCAACAUUGGAUAUUGAAUUGAGGAAGAAGAAAUUGUGAAAUUAGAGCAAUUAAGUGUAGAAAUUCCUCCGAGAAACUUAGGCUAAAGGGGCGACGAAGCAAACGAGAUUACGAUUAAUCUUUAACAGGUACACAUAGUCGGUUUGGUGACCCUUCAGUAUAGGGCUUCUACUCAGCUGUCUUGGAGAGCUCCGUUGUUCCGGAGUCUAGGCUUUUGGUACAGAUCUUAUGAUGUAUAUGUAUAUGUUUAUCCAGGGGUACGGCGGGGCCCUGUCCCGCCAUAUUUCACUAUCGAUACUCUUAGAGGUCUGUAGAUAUAUGUGUGGGUUAUGUAUAAGUUUGUUCAGCUGUGUCUAUUCGAUGUGCUAUGGAUAUGUUCGAAUGUAGUGGCAGCCUUGUCGGCUUGCGUAUCAUUUCAUGAUUUGAUUAGUUGUGACUCCUCA